rnacentral:rRNA from 1 species
UGUUUGGUGGAGAGUUUGAUCCUGGCUCAGGAACAACGCUGGCGGCGUGCCUAACGCAUGCAAGUCGCGCGGGCCCGCCCUUCGGGGCGGGUCAGCGGCGGACGGGUGAGGAACGCGUGGACAACCUGCCCCCCGGUGGGGAACAACCCCGAGAAAUCGGGGCUGAUACCGCAUCCGCUCGGCGCCCGGUGGGGGCGGCGAGGAAAGGCGCGAGGCGCCGGGGGAGGGGUCCGCGUCCGAUUAGCUGGUUGGCGGGGUGACGGCCCACCAAGGCGACGAUCGGUAGCGGGUCUGAGAGGACGGCCCGCCACAGGGGGACUGAGACACGGCCCCCACUCCUACGGGAGGCAGCAGCGAGGGAUUUUCCGCAAUGGGCGCAAGCCUGACGGAGCAACGCCGCGUGCGGGACGACGCCCCUCGGGGUGUAAACCGCUUUUGGUCGGGACGAAUCUGACGGUACCGGCCGAAUAAGCCUCGGCUAACUACGUGCCAGCAGCCGCGGUAAUACGUAGGAGGCAAGCGUUGUCCGGAAUUAUUGGGCGUAAAGCGCGCGCAGGCGGCGCCGCCGGCCCCGUGUGAAAGCCCCCGGCUCAACCGGGGAGGGUCACGGGGGACCGCGGCGCUGGAGGGUGGCAGAGGUCGGCGGAAUUCCGGGUGUAGCGGUGAAAUGCGUAGAGCCCCGGAGGAACACCAGUGGCGAAGGCGGCCGGCUGGGCCACACCUGACGCUGAGGCGCGAAGGCCAGGGGAGCGAACGGGAUUAGAUACCCCGGUAGUCCUGGCAGUAAACGAUGUCGACUGGGUGUCGGGGGUAUCGACCCCCCCGGUGCCGCAGCCAACGCGGUAAGUCGACCGCCUGGGGAGUACGGCCGCAAGGCUAAAACUCAAAGGAAUUGACGGGGGCCCGCACAAGCAGCGGAGCGUGCGGUUUAAUUCGACGCAACGCGCAGAACCUUACCAGGCCUUGACAUGCAACUGCAAGCGCACGGAAACGUGUGACCUUCGAGGGUGUUGCACAGGUGCUGCAUGGCUGUCGUCAGCUCGUGCCGUGAGGUGUUGGGUUAAGUCCCGCAACGAGCGCAACCCCCGCGGCCAGUUAGAAUGUCACUGGCCGG